rnacentral:lncRNA from 1 species
AGAAUUGUAAUAUUUUUUUUAGGGUAUUUCAGCUCCAUGAGUUAUUUCUUAUAGAUUCAGAUAAUGACAUUAUAAAUCUUUCUGUGGAGGCAAUUACUAAGGCAGAAAUGGCCUAUUCCCCAUUGGCUUUUAGGUUCAGCUUACUGACAUAUUACAAGCAGGCUUACCGUGGUCAUUAAAAACUGAUCUGGGAUUUAUUGUACCUCUUUAAACUCUCAGUACUCUGAAAAGUAUUGAACAGAAAGGAAUACAAAGUGAAGUUGCAAAGAGGGCCAGCAAGGCAAUCAGGAGAGAAGCAGAUUUAAUUUAUCCAUCAAGACCACCACAAGUAUGGUGAAAAUAUCUGAAAUUGGAGCAUGAGAUUUUUAAUAGAGGCAAGGACAGUCUUGCUAAGUGUGGAUUUCCACCUGAAAUAGUUUCAAACGUGGUUUUAGAAUUGAGAGUUAAAGAGACAUUGGUGUGAGAUACUGCACAAAAGGCAAGGUGGUUUUUUAGCCUUUUCUGAGAAGUGGGCCACCUGAAGACAUGGAGCAUUCCAGAAGAAGUACAAUAGUCCCUGGCCGGUAGGACUGACACCUUCUCUGGUAACAAAGCCCACUUACAGUGCAGGUGCAAAUAAAUGGACAAGAGUCUGGACUUCCUCAUUAUCUUGUUCGCUUAGAUCUCCUCGUCUCGAUCCGUCUGCUUCUUCCCAAAUGAUAUUGGAAUACCUUUUCUGGGAAAAGAGAUCCCCAGCAAGGUUCAAGCAGGUGUGUUACAACAGCACAAAGGCAUGAAGGUGAGAGAAAGAGAAAAAAAAGAAAGAGGGAAAGAAGAAAUGUACAUAUCAGAAGCCCAAUCUAGGAACAGUAUAUUCCCAGCAAUCUCUCAACUUCAAAGUUCUGAUGGAACUUUAAGAAAAACUGCAAUCAUUUGGUUUGUGGCAGCCAUGCCUCAGUGUUCUCAUAAGCUUCAAUUAGCAAAAGACUUUCACAUUUCCUUUUGCCACCUAUACCAGGGCUUCCAUUGUUGGAAACAGAUGAGAACUUUUCCACUCCACAUGGAGUUUUCUUCAUGACACUUUCUAAUGCGGUUUUGCUCAGCAGUUUUGAACUGCUGGUUCCAUAGGAAAUAUUCUUCAGCAUGAGUGAAAAGUGAUGCCAACAUGUAUAUAAUUAAAUAUGAAUGCACAGAAAAAUAUUCUCAAAAAUAGUGUCUUAGCCUUUGGAAAUGUUUCAAAUGGUUAUCUGGUUAGAUCCUAAAAGCAAUACAUUCUCGUUCUUCAGAAACAUCUUCCUCUCAAUGCUGACACUAGUAAGAGCUCUCACUGGGAAAAGAGGUGCCCAGCAUGCUAAUCAAAGGCAAGAUAGCCUUGUGGUCUUAUGGUUAGUUCUUACUGAGGCACCAGGUAGGAGGAACAGACUGGUCCAUCACAGAUGCUUGUUUCUCUGACUAGGGUUCAAGGACCCCUUGAGGUCUGAAAAUAUUUUUUCUGUGUUGGAGUGCCCCCAGGUUUAAGAUAGUGCCCUAAUAAAUCAAAUUCUCUUUGUGAGAAGGGAACAGAAAUGUGUGUAUGGGCAGUGGUAGGCUGUUGAGGGAAUCACAAUGGAGAUCUUAAAAGAUAUUGCUAGAGGCCGGAUGCAGUAGCUCAGGCCUGUAAUCCCAGCAUUUGGGGAGGGUGAGGCGGGUGGGUGGCUUGGACUCAGGAGUUUGAGACCAGCCUAGAAAACAUGGUGGAACCCCCAUCUCUACUCAAAAUACAAAAAAUUAACUGGGCUUGGCGGUGCACACCUGUGGUCCUAGCUCCUCAGGAGGCAAAGGUCACAGUAAGCGGAGAUCAUGACAUUGCAUUCCAGCCUAGGUGUGGGUGACAGAGUGAGUCUCUCACUUCCUCAAUCUCUCUCUCUGUCUCUCAUAUUUAUAUGUGUGUGUACAUAUAUAUCUCAUAUGUAUAUAUACAUAUAUACACACACACAUAUAUAUAGCUUGAAUGUGUUUUAUAAUGCA